UCCAUAUAUUCAAAAUGUCUUGGUUUCGAUCUCAAUGGUAGAACUGAUAAGAUGACAGAGUAUAGCCUGCGUAUUAAACUAUGAAUUUAUCAAAUCUAUCAAAUAUAUUGACUUGCACAACAUUCCAAUCCAGCAUAAGAGAAACACAGAUGAGAUCUAGAAGCACAAAACUUUCUUCUAAAAACCCUUCAUCUUUUCUUGCAGCCUGAGCUCUACCGACUACCUUAAGCCUGCCGCACACGAGAGCUAUCUGCUGAGCAAAAAAUUACUCGUGCCUGUUAGCUCAGCCGAUAGCUCACCGUGUGCGCGUACAUU